rnacentral:rRNA from 1 species
UACAUGUGGGCAAGCGUUGUUCGGAAUUACUGGGCAUAAAGGGUGCGUAGGCGGCUUGUUAAGUCAGGGGUGAAAGUUUUCGGCCCAACCGGAAAAUUGCCUUUGAUACUGGCGAGCUCGAGUGCGUGAGGGGUAACCGGAACGAGUGGUGUAGCGGUGAAAUGCGUAGAUAUCACUCGGAAGGCCAAAGGCGAAGGCAGGUUACUGGUACGCAACUGACGCUGAGGCACGAAAGCGUGGGGAGCAAACAGG